rnacentral:rRNA from 1 species
UACGUAGGGGGCGAGCGUUAUCCGGAUUUAUUGGGCGUAAAGCGAGCGCAGGUGGUUUAUUAAGUCUGGUGUAAAAGGCAGUGGCUCAACCAUUGUAUGCAUUGGAAACUGGUAGACUUGAGUGCAGGAGAGGAGAGUGGAAUUCCAUGUGUAGCGGUGAAAUGCGUAGAUAUAUGGAGGAACACCGGUGGCGAAAGCGGCUCUCUGGCCUGUAACUGACACUGAGGCUCGAAAGCGUGGGGAGCAAACAGG